rnacentral:piRNA from 1 species
UGAAGGUAUGCCUGUAUCCUCUCAGUAC